AUUGAACGCUGGCGGCAGGCCUAACACAUGCAAGUCGAGCGGAUGAAGGGAGCUUGCUCCUGGAUUCAGCGGCGGACGGGUGAGUAAUGCCUAGGAAUCUGCCUGGUAGUGGGGGAUAACGUCCGGAAACGGGCGCUAAUACCGAAUACGUCCUGAGGGAGAAAGUGGGGGAUCCUCGGACCUCACGCUAUCAGAUGAGCCUAGGUCGGAUUAGCUAGUUGGUGGGGUAAAGGCCUACCAAGGCGACGAUCCGUAACUGGUCUGAGAGGAUGAUCAGUCACACGGGAACUGAGACACGGUCCAGACUCCUACGGUAGGCAGCAGUGGGGAAUAUUGGACAAUGGGCGAAAGCCUGAUCCAGCCAUGCCGCGUGUGUGAAGAAGGUCUUCGGAUUGUAAAGCACUUUAAGUUGGGAGGAAGGGCAGUAAGUUAAUACCUUGCUGUUUUGACGUUACCAACAGAAUAAGCACCGGCUAACUUCGUG
rnacentral:rRNA from 1 species